CGGAAUAAGAUCUAUUUUGCUCUCUUUUCGAUUUCUUAUUUUUAUCGUUGUUAUUCUCGUGUUCUGAUUGCUUGACGUGUGGUAAUUAACAGAUAUCCGGGUCCUCUGGGAAACUAGGGUUUUCUUAGUUUCCUUAUUUAAACGGAAAUCGACAGUGCGAAUUUCGGUUCCCACAAUGGUACUUUUUAAAUCUUCUAGUACUAACCAUUAGUUAUGGGUUGAAUUUGGUCCCUUGAAUUAGCCUAUAAAUGAGGAGCCCCAAGCCAUAAGCUUGGGAAAUAUUUGCUUGCUAGAUGGAUCUUGGACAUCUUCUGCUAACUUUAGUGGAUGCGGAUGGGUGUGGAUGGAUGGGUCUGGGAAUGUGCAGCUUAUGGGGACAAGGAAUUUCACUCGGCGGGAAUCAGCUUUGCACUCGGAAGUAGAGGCACUGCGAUGGGCGAUGGAGAAUAUGCUGCAACAUUCGAACUGCCAGAGCUUCGGGACAGAUUGUAAGGAACUGAUAGCAAUGGUGAAGGAACCUCAGGCGUGGCCAAGCUUUGCGACGGAAUUGGAGAGGAUAGAGACGCUACAGAUAUGCUUUCCGGAUUUUAAAAUCGCUCACGUCCCACGGGCACGUAACCAGACGGCUGAUUUUUUGGCUAAGACUGCUAGAUCCUUCCAUAGGGAGUUAUGUUUUAUUGGUUGUUCUAUUCCGGUUUGGUUACCCAGACCACCUCAAGUUUGAGUAAUAGAAUAGCCUUUCGACGUAAAAAAAAAAAAAAGAAUUAGCCUAUAAAUAAAAGAGGAGGUAAUGCAUGUAAUUUUGUUUGAUUUUCACUAUCACAUUGGUAUAAUCUACUAUGACUUUUUUUAGUCAACCAGAAUAUUUUAUUGAGACAUCAAAGAUACAAAGACAAAUACAUAGCCGGCGGAAAGAAGGUAUAUUCCCGGAAUCAAAGCUGGCGUAAGACCGAAUUUUCCUAGAGACUAAACUAAACUGUAACCAAACUUAAAGCCAUAAAAGUUUUGUCCCAGUCAUAAAACAACAAUGGAUCCAUAGAGAAAGACUUGGCGCUUACAAACAUAACAGGUUAAAGCUUUACACAUAAAGAGCAAAAUUUAACGAAGAGGCCCCUCCCCUGGUCAACCAUCGUUAACAAGCUCCUCUUAAAACCUACCUUUUGAUCCCAAGAAUCGAAGCUUCACUUCUGGCAAGACAGAACCUCUAGGUCUCCGAAAAGCGGUGGAGCCCACAAUCGCGACUAGAACACACCUAAAAUGAAGCUUGCAAAGAGAUCAUGAUCAUAGCUGAGAGGUAGAGUCAAGGAGCAAGCAAUCCAACCCGAAUAGUUUCGAAAAGAAACUGAACUAAACUUCAGAGCAAAGAAAAAACUGGCAUGCAUGAAGUACAAGGCCCCAAGAUCUAGCUUUAGAUCUUGGAUAAUAGAUCAAACCGAAGUCGUUAGCAGUAUAACCGCACCGAUGAUCCACCUGAAUCCGGUGACUCUGUCUUCUCUAUACCAAAAGCCAACUAGAUCUAGAGAUAGAAGUGAAUCCAAUCAAAAUCCAAACUUUAUGGUGAAAAAGGACAAAACCAGACUAGAAACUCAAAAUAAUGACAAGAGCAAUCCUACUCUGGCGCUUAAAGCUAUCGGAGUCAGAAACUGAAGAAAACUGCAAAGCAAAACUGCGAAGCUUAGAGAAGAGACAACGCCUCUCUUACCCCUAUCUCUUGAAGUCCAGUCUCUCCCUGCCGAUGGUUUCUCUCUUCCUCUCUGCAACUUUUCUUUUUCUGGUUUCUUCUUCUUUCUUCUUCAACAUCAAAUCCGAUAGUGAACUCUAAGAUUAGAUCCGGAAACCUGAAGAAGAAACAGAUUUGCGGUGCCUCACAAUUUAGGGUUUUUAUUGUCCUCAUGUUUUCGAUUUAGGGUUGUAAAUUAAGAUUUUGGGUUUUGUAUGAUUAGGGUUCUUAUUGUUCUCUAUAGAUCUGAGUUUUUUUUUUUUUUUUAUGAUUUAGGGAUUUUAUUGUUCUUGUUCCCCCUUUGCAAAAUAUGUUUUGUGUUUUUUAUUUAUUUUCUUCAGAUCUGAAUCCAGUAUAACUCGGUAUUACUAACUCAGUCGAAUUUGAUAUAACUAACUCAGUAGUACUUAGUAUUAUGCAGUAUAACCAGUAGAACUUAGUCGAACUCGGUAUAACUAACUAAGUAGUAGUACUAGUAGUAGUAGUAGUAGUAGUACUUAGUAGUCCUUAGUAGUACACAAUACAAUCGGUAUAACUCGGUAUAACUACACUCGGUAGUACUCAGUAUAACUAAUUAUAACCUAGUAUAACUACACUCAGUAGUACUAAGUAUAACUCAGUAUAACUCGGUAUAACUACAUUCAGUAGUACUCAGUAUAACUUAACAUCAAUAUUACCCAGUAGAACGAAGUAUAAUCCAGUACAACUAAAUAAAACUAUACAGUAUAAUGUAGUAUCCGAAAUUUGAAAAUUUAAAAAUUUAAAAAUUUGAAAUUUGAAUUUCGAAUUUUUUUAAUGAUUUAAAUUAAUAAUUUCAAAAAUGCAAAAGGGCAAAAUCGGAUAUUCAUAUUUCAUUAAAUCAAUGAGGGUAUAGGAGAUUUGAGAGUUCCAUAAGAGAUUGUCUCUACCACAAGUGGGGGCGUGGGAGAAGUUGGCUCCUUAGAGAAUAAGAGAGAAAGGGGGUGAUUUAGAAAAGAUGGGCCGUUAAACUAUCUACUAUGACUUUUUAAUAUUGUUUAAUAUUUUUUUAGUUUAAUAUACAAAGAAUUAGUGUGCAUAGAACAAAAGUAUGAGUGGACAAGGUUUCUUGUUACAAAAAUUAGUACAUAUACAUUCAUAGAAAGAGUGGGUGUUGUAAUUUAGUUUUCUCGGAGUAGUUUAAAUUUUCAAUGUAAUAUAAUCUUAAUUAAUAUUUAUAUCAUUUUAAAUAAAAAUCAAGAGAAAUUCACUAAAUUAUUAAUAAUGAAAAUGUAUAAUUGCAAAAAGAAAGAGGUAGAUGUACGAGUGCAUAAGCAUAAUAUAGAUAUACAGUCAAUUAUUUAUUUUAUUUUAAAUAAAUAUGAAAAGAAACCCAUGAAAUUAUUAAUAAUGAAAAUGUAUAAUUCGAAGAAAAAACUAAAGAAAGAUGUAGAGAAUGUGAAUGACCAUAAUAUAUAAUAAGUGUUUAGCGAUGGUCAUAUGAUCCAUCUCUUCUUCUUGGUGUCUUUCUCAUCAAUAACUUCAUCCACAGCACAUCUUCUGUUUCAUUUUUUCCUUUGUCAUGUUUUACAACCAAUACUUGAAUACGACAACCUUCUCCUUCUCCGUAUUUGAUGUUAUCUUCGAUCUCUGAUUUCUUUUGAUUCCUUUUCUUUAGUUGUUAUAUCCAAUAGUUUAAAAUUAUUAAAUAAAUAUUACUGUCAUCAUAUAUAAUAUGAAUGAUGGGUUUAUAAUAAACAUAACCUUUGUGGUGUACUAGUCGUUACAUUAUGACUAAUUUACGACAAAAUUUUAUCGUAGCGUAAUUACGUCUACAUUAUGAAGAUUUCAUAUUUCGUCGUUAGUUAGUCUAAAGACGACGUCAAAUUACGACGUCACAUUUGUAGUUGUAAUACGUGAUCGUUAUGACCAAGUUUUCUUGUAGUGUAUUGUUACGAAAAUCAAUAAUACAGUUAAAAGUGUAGAGUAAUUUUUUGAAAAUCGGACCGGAUACCGAUUCGGUAUAGCUUUUACGGCAAAUAACAUACAACUACAACAACAAAAAAUCAGACUAAAUUUUACAACUAAACUUCUACAUAUACAGUCAAGGCAAUCAUCCCAUAUAUGUUUUGUUUUGUUAUGUAAGAUUUAUGGUUUAGGUUACAAUUAUCCCAUUAUCUGAUAGUGCAAUAUUGAAUAUUGAGAUAUUUUAUCUUCCGUAACAAAAGAUGAAAAUAAUAUCAUAUCUUAUAGAAUCAUUAAGGUUGAUUAAUAGUAAUGCUUGAUGAUAUAAAUAUUUUAUGAUUUAGUAGUCCAAUAUAUGAGUAAAUAUUCGUAAAAAAUAUUUUAAUUCUUUGAAAUCGUUAGUUAUAUUAAACAUAGAAUGUAUGAAAUACUGAAAAAGGAAUGUAUAGGUUUUUUGGUUUAAAAUAAUUUUCUUACCAUAAUCUAGGAGUGACAUACUUGUAAUAAUGAAAGGAAAUCAAGAAGAUGUCAGAAAUGUCUUUUGUUUUAUUUAUGUUGAUUAUUAAUUUAAUUUAUAUAUUUUUAACUGACAAAAAUAAAUAUAUAUGCAAUACUGAACAAGGCAAAUAUUCAUAUUUUAGAGUUAAGGUUCCAGUACAUGACUUUUUUAUUAAAUUAAACUAAUAGUGAUUUUAUUUACUAGUUUUUAUUUAACCCGUUAAAUAAAUUUUACUUCAAAAAACAAGGUUUAUCUUGUCUUUAAUUACACCAUAGAAUGCAUAGAAUCAUAAAAAGACAUUAGAGUACGAUCCGCAUAGAUGUGCGGGUAUUUUUUCAUUUUACUAAUGUAUAACUUAAAUAUAUUAUAAUGAAUGUUUAAAUAUAUAAUUUACAUUUUAGUUUUAUUUAUUUUUAACUCUAUCAUAUUAUUGUGUACGUUUUUAAUUGAUAUUUUUAAUAUAUAAUAAUAUUUUAUAUGAAAUUAUGUACUACUAUAUUUUUGAAUUAUGCACAAUGAAUUGAUUAUCUAAAAUAAUCAAAUAAAGCAUCUCUUGCAAAAUAUGUUUAUUUUUUUCAAUUUCUACAGUUUGCAUACAGUCCAUUUUAAAAUUUUAUUAGUUUAGAAUAUUUUGUUUUGUGAAAAUAUGUUUUUAAAAGAGAUAUUUAUUUAAGAUGCUAUAGAAUAUCGAUUACGCAAUUAUUAUAAAUUAUAAUCAUAAAGUUGUAUUCUACAUAUAUGGAUAUAUAUAUAUGUAUAUUAUGGAGACAUAUUAUUUUAGUAAAAUUUAUUGAUAUAUGAUAUUUAUCAGAUGCUAUGGUAUUAAGUAUUCUGAUUUUUUGUUACUAAAUUAAGGUUAUAAAAUAUUGCAUCAUUUUUUUCUUUUAAAAACAUUUUUUCAUGUUGAAUUUCAAAAAAGUUAUACUUUUGCAUCUAUGAUUUUAUCUUAUGCAAAAUUUGGAAUAUUAUUAUUUUAAGUUUAAAAUAUUAAUUUUCGAAAUUAUAAAAUUGGUCAAGACCAUUUUGAAAAAUUACAAAACUAUUUUGAGUGUGGAAGAAUAUAAGAAUUUGGAUUUUGUUUUAGUAAAUCAAUGAAAUAUUUUAUAAAAUAUUGAAAUCUAAGUUAAAAUUUUAAAACAAUUUCGAACUUUUUUGUUAUAAUUAAAAAUAAACUUUAAAUUAUAGUUGAAAUAUUCAUAAUUAAAAUUGUAAUGAAUUAUUAAAAUUUCAAAGUUUUCUAACAGCAUAUUUUGUAAAUAACACAAGAACUAAAUUUUAGUAAUAUAUUAUGAUAUUUUGUGUGUAAUAAUGUUUAGAUAAUAUUUUAUUGUGAGUUUAAAAAUAAAUAAAAGUUUAAAAAUAAUAUAUAGUCUGGAUAUAAGAGUUUAAUAUAUGUUAACAUUAUUUUUUAUUAAAAUAUUACAUAGUUUAUGAAUUUUAAUCCCUUUUAACGAUGAAUGAUAUUUUAUUUAUUUAGUUUUUUGAAAGCAGUUUUUAAAAUAAAAUAAAAGAAAAUUUAGAAAGAAUAGCAUCUAAUUUUUUGUUUUAUAAUAAAAUUUACCUUAACAAUAAUUUAUAAUAAUAUUAUUAUAUCAUUAAUUACGAAUUUAAUUAAUGAGUUAUUUUAUAAAAAAACAUUUCAAAUUUUUAGUAAUUGUUUUGAGAUUUUUUUCAAUAAAUUUUUCUAUUAUAAAAAUAAAACAUAAAUUUAAGUUAAAAUACAUUUAUUAUUAUCCUUAUAAAUUAUUAAGAUUUUUAAAAAUGUUAUAUAUCUCAUUGAUUACUUUAAAUAAUCAAAUGGGUUAUAAUAUAUAAUUUAUAACAUAUUUUUAUAACAUAUGUUUCUAUUUAUAAAUUUAUAUCAUGUAUUUUGUGAUUUUGUUUAACAAUUGUUUUAUAUGUUUUGGAUGACCAAUAUAUAUACAAAAUGUUUAUAUUGUGAAAAUAAUUAUUUUGUUGAUAAAAACUUCAGUAAGAAAUUAAAUUAAAAAUGAUUUAAAAUAUAAUUUAAAUUUAGAAUGACUUGCAAUAUACUAUCAAUUAAAAAUAACUUGCAAUAUAAUUUAAAUUAAGAAUAUAUUCAAAUAUAAUGUAAAAUCAUACUUUGUAUGUUUAUGUUUGUUAAUUUGAAUGCCUUUGCAGAAAAAUAUAAUUAAAUUAUUGAUCUAAAUUAUAAUUUUUAGAAUAUAUAGAUUGUAUCUUAAUUAUAUACUAAAUUAAAUAAUUAUAGUUUUUAAAAUUAAAGAAGAAAAAAGCACUGAGAUUUUCUAAUUUCAAAGCGAAUGGGACGAACAAAUGUUAUACUCUCGUUUUUAGCCCCAACGAAACCAGAAAAGGAAAGAAUAAGGGGUUUAAACAAAGACAGUGAUAAUUAUUAUACGAUGGGCCUUAAGUUUGGUCAGUAUUUCUGAUUGGUUUAAAACGUCUUUUUCUCAUUUUUUUUCUUUUAACAUCUUUAACUUUAUUAAUAUCAAAUCAAUGUAACAGAUUACAUGAAACAUAAGAUACAUCAAACACGUUGUUGAAAAGAACUUUUAAUAGAGAUUGCUGUAAUACGAUACUUCCUAACACAUUCGUAGGAUAGACUGAUUCGCUAGCUUUUCUCCACCUUGUUCUUGGUCUUGCAAGAUCUUUUUUGUGGCUCUCAAUCUUUGUGAGUAAAUGCCUUUUUCUUCGAAGAAGAUCAUUGGAUCCGAUCCAUCUGUUACAUCGUAAUCCAUCCCAAACGUCUUUUUCUCAUUAGAUGAAUUUACAGGUGGUGAAAAUAAUUAAAAAUAUUUUUAAAAAAGAAAUGGCAUACCACUGUUAAUAAUUCAAAAAUCUGCUAUUAUAUAUGAGAGAGAGGGGACAACAUUUUUUCCCCAAAUCCGAAAAAUAAAAAUAUUUGAAGAACGCUCAACCUUCGUAGGUGUUUUUCGACUCUUCCAAACAUCGCAGAAACAGAUCCAAUUCAUUAACAUAGUAAGUGUUUGGAUCUCUCUCUCUCUCUCUCUCUCUCUCUCUCUCUCUCUCUCUCUCUCUUCUCUCUCUCUCUCUCUCUCUCUCUCUCUCUCUCUCUCUCUCUCUCUCUGUAAAUCAUGAAUGUCUUUGAGGAUCUUCGAUCGCAAUUUUGAUUUAGGGUUUCGUUCUCUUUAGAUUCAGAUCCCGAUUGGUUUGGGGUUUCUCGCUCUAUGUUAGGGUUUCUUAUGAAUCUUUCUUGUUCGAUUGAUUGUCUUGUUCCUUUAUAGUUCGAUCGCAAUUUUGAUUUAGGGUUUCGUUUUCUUUAGAUUCUGAUUCCGAUUGGUUUGGGGUUUCUCGCUCUAUGUUAGGGUUUCUUGUGAAUCUUUCUUGUUCGAUUGAUUGUCUUGUUCCUUUAUAGUUCGAUCGCAAUUUUGAUUUAGGGUUUCGUUUUCUUUAGAUUCUGAUUCCGAUUGGUUUGGGGUUUCUCGCUCUAUGUUAGGGUUUCUUGUGAAUCUUUCUUGUUCGAUUGAUUGUCUUGUUCCUUUAUAGUUCAAUCGCAAUUUUGAUUUAGGGUUUCGUUUUCUUUAGAUUCUGAUCCCGAUUGGUUUGGGGUUUCUCGCUCUAUGUUAGGGUUUCUUGUGAAUCUUUCUUGUUCGAUUGAUCGUCUUGUUUUAUACGGAUUGGAUCCUGAUUUGUUUAGUUUUUGGUACUAAACUCUGUAAGAAUCGAUAGAAAAAAACCAUGUUGUUUUCUCCUUGAUGUACGAGUGUUGUUUGUUUAACCUCUCAAAUUCUUAUUCUUGUAUUAUUAUGUCUCACAAGUCCUGUCGUUAGUUAGACAAUAAUGGUAAAGAGUUUAUGCUAUAGUUUCUAAGCUUGCAUCAUUAUUCCUUUUGUAGUUAUAUUUUAGGGUUCAUAAUUUGUGGUUAUGGUGUAUCUUACUACUGUUUCAGUUAUAGCCUCACACGAGAAGAAACGGUGUGACGAGAGUGAUGGAAGAGCUGAAAGGCGAAACAACAUACAAUGGGUUUUUACAGCAGCAUUCAGUGACUCCGUGUGAAACCUGUCAUUAAGGUAAAUUACUCUUUCUAUGCUCUACAGAUUCCCCAUCAGUUUUGAGAUGAUUUUGAAUUCAACAACAAGAAUAUUUCAAAAAGCCUUUUAAUUUGUUUUUUUUUCAAAACCCUAAGAUCGAUUUAUUCUGUUUUGUUUUGAUGUUGUGGUUUUCCACUUCAAAACCCCCAAAAAGAUCUUAGACAAACACUAAUCUAAUAGUGUUCUGUAAGAUUCUUAUCUUGGGAACAUUGUCCCUUUGCUGCCCCUAAAGGAAACUUAGUACCCACGGCUUAAAAAGGUCUUUUAAGACAAGAAGAGGCUUUACUAACCCACGGCUUAAGAAUUAAGGAUCUGUUUUUGAUUAUUUGGAUGGAAUGGAUUACAACAACCAAUGUCUUUAAGACAAAGGACUAAAAUCAAAAACAGAUUCUUAUUUUUUUUCUUACCUACGGCUUAAGAAGGAUCUGAUUUUGAUUAUUAUACCGACCGAUGGUUAAGAAAGUCUUUAAGACAAGAGACUUGAGAAAUCAAAAACAGAUCCUUAUUUGACUUACACCCACGGCUUUAUUGUCCCUUUGCUGCCCCUAGAGGAGACUUAUUACCCACGGCUUAAAAAAGUCUUUUAAGACAAGAAGAUACUUUACUAACCCACGGCUUAAAAAGGAUCUGUUUUUGAUUAUUAUACCGACCAAUGGUUAAGAAAGUCUUUAAGACAAGAGACUUGAGAAAUCAAAAACAGAUCCUUGUUCGACUUACACCCACGGCUUGAUUGUCCCUUAGCUGCCCCUAAAGGAAACUUUUUACCCACGGCUUAAAAAAGUCUUUUAAGACAAGAAGAGACUUUACUAACCCACGGCUUAAGAAGGAUCUGUUUUUGAUUAUUAUAACCACCAAUGGUUAAGAAAGUCUUUAAGACAAGAGACUUGAGAAAUCAAAAACAGAUCAUUGUUUGACUUACACCCACGGCUUGAUUGUCCCUUUGCUGUCCCUAAAGUAAACUUAUUACCCACGGCUUAAAAAGUCUUUUAAGACAAGAAGAGACUUUUUACUAACCCACGGCUUAAGAAUUAAGGAUCUGUUUUUGAUUAUUAUACUGACCAAUGGUUAAGAAAGUCUUUAAGAUAAGAGACUUGAGAAAUCAAAAACAGAUCCUUGUUUGACUUACACCCACGGCUUGAAUGUCCCUUAGCUGCCCCUAAAGGAAACUUAUUACCCACGGCUUAAAAAGUCUUUUAAGACAAGAAGAGACUUCUUACUAACCCACGGCUUAAGAAUUAAGGAUCUGUUUUUGAUUAUUAUACUGACCAAUGGUUAAGAAAGUCUUUAAGACAAGAGACUUGAGAAAUCAAAAACAGAUCCUUGUUUGACUUACACCCACGGCUUGAAUGUCCCUUAGCUGCCCCUAAAGGAAACUUAUUACCCACGGCUUAAAAAGUCUUUUAAGACAAGAAGAUACUUUACUAACCCACGGCUUAAGAAUUAAGGAUCUGUUUUUGAUUAUUAUACUGACCAAUGGUUAAGAAAGUCUUUAAGACAAGAGACUUGAGAAAUAAAAAACAGAUCCUUGUUUGACUUACACCCACGGCUUGAUUGUCCCUUAGCUGCCCCUAAAGGAAACUUAUUACCCACGGCUUAAAAAGUCCUUUAAGACAAGAAGAGACUUUACUAACCCACGGCUUAAAAAUUAAGGAUCUGUUUUUGAUUAUUAUACUGACCAAUGGUUAAGAAAGUGUUUAAGACAAGAGACUUGAGAAAUCAAAAACAGAUCCUUGUUUGACUUACACCCACGGCUUGAUUGUCCCUUAGCUUCCCCUAAAGGAAACUUAUUACCCACGGCUUAAAAAGUCUUUUAAGACAAGAAGAUACUUUACUAACCCACGGCUUAAAAAUUAAGGAUCUGUUUUUGAUUAUUAUACUGACCAAUGGUUAAGAAAGUCUUUAAGACAAGAGACUUGAGAAAUCAAAAACAGAUCCUUGUUUGACUUACACCCACGGCUUGAUUGUCCCUUAGCUGCCCCUAAAGGAAACUUAUUACCCACGGCUUAAAAAGUCUUUUAAGACAAGAAGAUACUUUACUAACCCACGGCUUAAGAAUUAAGGAUCUGUUUUUGAUUAUUAUACUGACCAAUGGUUAAGAAAGUCUUUAAGACAAGAGACUUGAGAAAUCAAAAACAGAUUCUUGUUUGACUUGCACCCACGGCUUGAUUGUCCAUUUGCUGCCCCUAAAGAAAACUUAUUACCCACGGCUUAAAAAAGUCUUUUAAGACAAGAAGAGACUUUAAUUACCCACGGGUUAAGAAGGAUCUGUUUUUGAUUAUUUGGAUGGAAUGUAUUACAACAACCAAUGUCUUUAAGACAAAAGACUAAAAUCAAAAACAGAUCCUUGUUUUACUUACCCACGGCUUGAGAAGAUCAUGUUUUUGAUUAUUUGAAUGGAAUGGAUUACAAUGACCAAUGGUUAAGAAAGUCUUUAAGACAAAAGACUAAAAUCAAAAACUGAUCCUUAAUUUACUUACCCACGGCUUAGAGAAAUCUCUUUGGAUGGAAUGGGAGUAUAACGAUCAAGGGUUUAAGAAAGUCUUUGAGACAAAAGACUUGAGAAAUCAAAAACAGAUCCUUAUUUUACUACUACCCAUGGCUUACAUAGACAAGACAUUUCGGUUACCCACAGCUUACAAGUCUUUAGACAAAGACAUAAGACAUGUCAUGUUAAUAGACCCACGGCUUAAAAGUCUUUACUACCCAUGACUUACAAGAGUCUAGACAAAGACUUCAUAUCAAAAACAACAGAUCCUUAUUUCACUGCCCACGGCUUACACAUAAGUCUUUAGACAAAGACGUACAAGGCAUGUCAGUUAAAAGAAGACCCACGGCUUAAAAGUCUUAGACAAAGAUGUAUAAGGCAUGUCAGUUAAAAACACCCACGGCUUACAUACAACUCUUUAGACAAAGACAUAUAAGACAUGUCAGUUUACUUUGGAUGGGAAUAACAAACCACGAGUAUAACAAACCAACAGUUUAAGAAAGUCUCAAGUCAAAGACUACACAUGGGUUUCAAAGACUUGUAGAAUGGUAUAAAAACCUACCCAUGAGUUGAUUUUAGAAUGCGGCUUAGAUAAACAAAAUGUGAACCGCGAGAACCAUUUGGAUGGGAAUAACACGACCAAAUGGUUAAAAAUUCUUUAAAUAUCCAGUCUAAAAACUAAUUAAUUUGAUUUUUUUUUCAGGUUUGUGCUUUAGGAGGUCUGAGGAGAUUGCCAGUGUAGCAGACUUCUGUGACAGGUAGUACAUCUCUUUGAAUUAGUUGAGUCUCACGUAGAGAUGUAUUUUUGAAAUUAUGUGAAACUUAUGUAGUUUAUAUGUCUGAGAAACUUUUUGUUUGUGUCAUCCACUAACCCUUCGUGAUCACAUAUGAUCACAUUCCUGUAAUUUUAUAAUUUAAUUUUGGUCGUUGUA